rnacentral:rRNA from 1 species
AGCACCUGAAGUCAAGCAAGAACACCCGCUGAACUUAAGCAUAUCAGUUAGCGGAGGAAAAGAAACCNACNAGGAUUGCCUUAGUAGCGGCGAGUGAACCGGCAAAAGCUCAAAAUGAAAAUCUGAAGCGGACAAAGUUUCAGAAUUGUAAUCUAGAGUGUUUCACGAAAGGUGAGGUCUUCGCACAAGUGCCUGAAAGGGUACGUCAAAGAGGGUGAAAACCCCGUAGAUGGCGAUGGACCUGCUGGCCGUGGGAUUUCGAAGAGUCGGGUUGUUUGGGACUGCAGCCCUAAAUGGGAGAUAAACUUCUUCUAAAGCUAAAUAUUUAUGGGAGACCGAUAGCGAACAAGUACUACGAAGGAAAGA